GGCCAAAGUGUUGAGUUCAGUUCCGGGCCUUCUCCCCGGUCCUGGUAAUUUAACUUUGGCACAGGGAAUGGCAGGAGUGCACGGUUUUGUUUCUGAGGUGGCCGUGUGUGCCAUUUCUCUCCACUCCUGCCUACAGGC